CCUAAGAUCUGUUCCACUCAUCCUCUUCCUCGUACACACUAAAACCCUUGCUUGAAAACCACAAAGACUCAAAAACUAGUGUUGUCGCUACUGUCAUCUCAUCAAUGGCUGCCGCUUUACUACCAUCAUGACUCUUUUUGUUUUGUAUUUCUGGCACCAACACCACCAUUGCAUUCACCGGAGGAACUUGCUCAGUUUCAAGCUAGAGUUACAAUUGGAGAUCUCCCAAUAAGAUGUCUGAUAUUCAAUCAUGAAUGGUUCUCUUGAAGGGCAAGGCCUUUAUCGUAGUUACUAUCUUUCAGAACUCAUUGUAUUCUUUGGGCUAAAAGUUGUUAUUUUGGUACAUUUUCAUGGAUAAAAAAUAGUAGGUAGUGUAUGUCUACAUGGUUUUUUUCUUAACUAGUAGAUUUGAUAAUAUAAUCAAAGGAACUACUUAACACGAUAUAGUGAGUGAGAGGGAAAGAUAAAGAAAGAGGGGAGAGAAUCGGAGAUGUACAUAAAAAGAAUAAUAAUAAUAAAUGUGUGAGAUAUCAAGUAAACGGGUAUCGAUUUCUUUUUGUGAAGGACUUUUUAAAUUCCAUCUUUAUUUUAUUCAUUUCCUAGCCUUUAAGAUUGAGACUUGCAGAUAUUGAGUUUGACAAGAGUAACUCUCAAGCUCGAGAGGUAGACCACUUUUAAGGUGAUGUGGGCAAAAAAUGUGGAGAAUACAAAAUUAUUCAAAGGAAAUUUAUGUAACCAUACACCAAGGGGCAAAAUUUUGUUUUUUAGAAACUUUGUUUUUUUACUUUUCAAAUUCAAUGGAUUUUGGGGAAAAUAAAUGGUCUUUCAUACACUGUAAUAGUGAUGUUGAGGCCCUUCCAAAAAUGCCCUCCUACACUUUAACAACUCUCCUAGUUGGAUCGGUUGCUUGGAAAAGCCACGUAAGUAAGGUCCAAAUCAGCUGUCCAUUUAAGUUGAUGACAUGACUCAUGUACAUGUCACCGUCCAACUAGACACUCCACAUAGAUUGAUUUUUCAAAAAAAAUUUACUAAAACAUAACAAAAUGGAUAGUGAGAUUUACCCCCAAAUCCCUUUUUCUCUCUUGAACCAAACCCUAACUCCAAAAACCCAUAUUCUUUCACCUUCAUUCACAACCACAAUUCGCCAAGGGAGCUGGUGGUGAAAACGGAGAGAGGUGGCCCGAGUUGAGAGGAGAAAAAAAAAGUGAGAGAGAGAGACAAAGAGCAGAGGAUGACACUUUAGGUUGGUUACUGGUUUCGUUGGUUUUGGAAGAGGACACAAGACACUUGAAGCGAGUAAAAUGUUGUUGGAGAUAAGCUUUCCUAGGUACGAAUGUAAUGGAUUUAUUAGUUCAUUUGGGUUCUUAUCGUUGCUUGUUGAGAUCAGAUCUAGCCUUUCUCAUUUCUGUAACUGUCAUGGAAAGGAAACAAUAUAUUAUUCAUGAUGUUUUUACAA